rnacentral:rRNA from 1 species
AUGGCUCAGAUUGAACGCUGGCGGCGUGCUUAACACAUGCAAGUCGCGCGUGAAAGGACUUCGGUCCGAGUAAAGCGGCGCACGGGUGAGUAACGCGUGGAUGAUCUACCCAUGAGAUAGGAAUAACGGCUGGAAACGGUCGCUAAUACCAAAUACGCUCCGAUUUCAACUUCGGGGGAAAGGUGGCCUCUGCUUGCAAGCUACUGCUCAUGGAUGAGUCCGCGUCCCAUUAGCUAGUUGGUGGGGUAACGGCCCACCAAGGCGACGAUGGGUAGCCGGUCUGAGAGGAUGACCGGCCACACUGGGACUGGAACACGGCCCAGACUCCUACGGGAGGCAGCAGUGGGGAAUAUUGCGCAAUGGGCGAAAGCCUGACGCAGCGACGCCGCGUGAGGGAUGAAAGGUCCUCGGAUCGUAAACCUCUGUCAGGAGGGAAGAACCGCCACGGUGCUAAUCAGCCGUGGUCUGACGGUACCUCCAAAGGAAGCACCGGCUAACUCCGUGCCAGCAGCUGC